GAACGGUUUUGGAAGGGGAGAUAAUAUGAUCAUGAAGGUGGCUUUCCCAGAGCAAGGCUUAGCCAUUGCACCCUGGAUGUGCUGACCCCUGAGAUUUCCCCAAAUGUGGGAAACUCGACUGCCAAGUGGUGGGGGACUACAUUCGCAAUGUCCCAAA
rnacentral:snRNA from 1 species